CCUACGGGUGGCAGCAGUGAGGAAUAUUGGUCAAUGGACGAGAGUCUGAACCAGCCAAGCCGCGUGAAGGACGAAGGUGCCAAGCAUUGUAAACUUCUUUUGUCAAGGGACAAAAUCAGGCUCGAGAGCCUGACCGAGGGUACUUGAAGAAAAAGCAUCGGCUAACUCCGUGCCAGCAGCCGCGGUAAUACGGAGGAUGCGAGCGUUAUCCGGAUUUAUUGGGUGUAAAGGGUGCGUAGGCGGACGGUUAAGUCAGCGGUAAAAGCCCGGGGCUCAACCCCGGCGAGCCGUUGAAACUGGCUGUCUUGAGAUGUCGAGAGGUAUGCGGAAUGCGCAGUGUAGCGGUGAAAUGCUUAGAUAUUGCGCAGAACUCCGAUUGCGAAGGCAGCAUACCGGCGGCGAUCUGACGCUGAGGCACGAAAGCGUGGGUAUCGAACAGGAUUAGAUACCCGGGUAGUC
rnacentral:rRNA from 1 species